rnacentral:rRNA from 1 species
AUUGAACGCUGGCGGCAGGCCUAAAACAUGCACGUCGAGCGAGCGACGGCAGGGUAAGUAAUGUCUGGGAAACUGCCUGAUGGAGUGGGAUAACUAAUGUAAACGGUAGCUAAUACCUCAUACCAUCCGAUUUGCCAAGAUGGGAUUAGCUAGUAGGUGGGGGAACGGCUCACCUAGGCGACGCUCCCUAGCUGGUCUGAGGGGAGUACCAGCCACCCUGGAACUGGGACACGGUCCCGACUCCUACGGGAGGCAGCAGUGGGGAAGAGUGCACAAUGGGCGCAAGCCUGAUGCAGCCAUGCCGCGUGUGUGAAGAAGGCCUUCGGGUUGUAAAGCACUUUCAGCGGGGAGGCGUUACCCGCAGAAGAAGCACCGGCUAACUCCGGGCCAGCAGCCGCGGUAAUUC